AUGGGGGGAACAUCCUCCAAGGCUAAAUACUCCUGACUGACCGAUAGUGAACCAGUACCGUGAGGGAAAGGCGAAAAGAACCCCUGUGAGGGGAGUGAAAUAGAACCUGAAACCGUGUGCGUACAAGCAGUAGGAGCAGACUUGUUCUGUGACUGCGUACCUUUUGUAUAAUGGGUCAGCGACUUAAUUUAUGUAGCGAGCUUAACCGAAUAGGGGAGGCGAAGGGAAACCGAGUCUUAAUAGGGCGACUAGUUGCAUGGAUUAGACCCGAAACCUGGCGAUCUAUCCAUGGCCAGGGUGAAGGUGGGGUAACACCUACUGGAGGCCCGAACCCACGUAUGUUGAAAAAUGCGGGGAUGAGCUGUGGAUCGGAGUGAAAGGCUAAUCAAGCCAGGAGAUAGCUGGUUCUCCUCGAAAGCUAUUUAGGUAGCGCCUCGUGUCUCACUCUUGGGGGUAGAGCACUGUUUCGGCUAGGGGGUCAUCCCGACUUACCAACCCGAUGCAAACUCCGAAUACCAGUAAGUUUUAUCGCGGGAGACAGACGGCGGGUGCUAACGUCCGUCGUCAAGAGGGCAACAACCCAGACCACCAGCUAAGGUCCCUAAUAUCAGUUAAGUGGGAAACGAUGUGGGAAGGCUUAGACAGCUAGGAGGUUGGCUUAGAAGCAGCCACCCUUUAAAGAAAGCGUAAUAGCUCACUAGUCGAGUCGGCCUGCGCGGAAGAUAUAUCGGGGCUAAACUGAUAACCGAAGCUGUGGAUGCGCACUUUGUGCGUGUGGUAGAGGAGCGUUCUGUAAGCCGUUGAAGGUGAAUCGUAAGGUUUGCUGGAGGUAUCAGAAGUGCGAAUGCUGACAUGAGUAACGAUAAGGGGGGUGAAAAACCUCCCCGCCGAAAGAUCAAGGUUUCCUGUCCAACGUUAAUCGGGACAGGGUGAGUCGGCCCCUAAGGCGAGGGCGAAAGCCGUAGUCGAUGGAAAACCGGUUAAAAUUCCGGUACCGAUUUUUACUGCGAUGGAGGGACGGAGAAGGCUAGGCUAGCACGGCGUUGGUAGUCCGUGUUUAAGCGUGUAGGUAGGGGGAUUAGGUAAAUCCGGUUCCUCGUUAAUCUGAGACGUGAUGACGAUCUCUUGGGGCGACCCUUGAGAGAAGUAGUUGAUGCCAUACUUCCAGGAAAAUCUUCUAAGCUUCAGGUAAGAAUUGACCGUACUGUAAACCGACACAGGUGAUCAGGUAGAGAAUACCAAGGCGCUUGAGAGAACUUGGGUGAAGGAACUAGGCAAAAUGGUACCGUAACUUCGGGAGAAGGUACGCUCCUCAUGGUGAUCGGACUUGCUCCGUAAGCUGAGGGGAGUCGAAGUGACCAGGUGGCUGCAACUGUUUAUUAAAAACAUAGCACUCUGCAAACUCGUGAGAGGAAGUAUAGGGUGUGACGCCUGCCCGGUGCCGGAAGGUUAAUUGAUGGGGUUAUCUUCGGAGAAGCUCUUGAUCGAAGCCCCGGUAAACGGCGGCCGUAACGAUAACGGUCCUAAGGUAGCGAAAUUCCUUGUCGGGUAAGUUCCGACCCGCACGAAAGGCGUAAUGAUUUGGAUACUGUCUCGGAGAGGGGCUCGGUGAAAUAGACUUGUCUGUGAAGAUGCGGACUACCUGCACCAGGACAGAAAGACCCUAUGAAGCUUUACUGUAACUUGAAAUUGAAAUUGGACUUUAGUCGCGCAGUAUAGGUGGGAGGCGUUGAUAAUAUUCUUGCGGGAAUAUUGGAGCUAUCAGUGAGAUACCACUCUUCUAAUGUUAGAUUUCUAACUUUGAACCAUUAUCUGGUCAAAGAACAGUUUCAGGCGGGCAGUUUGACUGGGGCGGUCGCCUCCCAAAUGGUAACGGAGGCGUACAAAGGUUUCCUCUGAACGGGUAGAAAUCGUAUCUAGAGUGUAAAGGCAUAAGGAAGCUUGACUGUGAGACCUACAAGUCGAACAGGGACGAAAGUCGGUCUUAGUGAUCUGACGGUACUGAGUGGAAAGGCCGUCACUCAACGGAUAAAAGUUACUCUAGGAUAACAGGCUGAUCUCCCCCAAGAGUUCACAUCGACGGGGAGGUUUGGCACCUCGAUGUCGGCUCGUCACAUCCUGGGGCUGGAGAAGGUCCCAAGGGUUGGGCUGUUCGCCCAUUAAAGUGGCA
rnacentral:rRNA from 1 species